CAGAUUCAUCCCUUAAAAGUUCUACAGAGUUAUUCUCAUUGUGAUGUAUAGAAAGAAUUUUGAAGUACAACUUUGUAUGUCUGGAACCAUUCAGUUAACAAACAUGUACUGAGUAUCUACCAUGUGUCAGGCACUGCGCUAAGCCAUGGAAACACAUUCUGGUCAGGAAUGCCAGAUGGUAAAGAAGAGCUAGUACUCAUGGAGCUAACCAGUAGGAGCUGCCACCACCAGAUGUCACUAACUCCACCCCUCACCAAUAAUCCUCUAAAUGUGUGGAUGGAAACCAUUAACAGCACUGCCUUGGACACUAGUAAAAUUCCUGUAGAGUGUUUUAUAAAGGUACUACUCCACCUCUGUGGUUGAAGAUCAAGGGCUCAAGUACUGAGAAAGGCCACCAAGAAACCCAAGCAGUGUGACUCUUAAUACAAAACAAGAAAUUAAUCUACUGCCAGCUUAAAAUCUUCAAACGUUUGCAUUAGUAAGAAUAAAGAUACACUCAACUAUGUUAUAAAAAAAAGUUAAUUGAAUAUGAUCCACCUGCAAACUAAUAUGAUUGUAUGUACUGUGCACAAUGGCCAUGUGUUUUGCAUAUUGUUGUUUUCAAGGGAACUAUGAUUGCAAUUUUGAUUAAUUGGACUAGUUCUUGAAUUUAGGAUCAAACUGAAAGCUGUAUAAUUUCUUAGGCCCAUUUAAUGUCCUUUAUGUACAUUAUUGGAGGUCUUGAAAAUCAUUUUUAAAAACUGAAAUUAGUUUUUGUCCUAAUCCCCUAGAGAUCGAUGCAGUGAAAUUUAUCAUGCCAUGAUGAUUAAA